rnacentral:rRNA from 1 species
UACGUAGGGUGCGAGCGUUAAUCGGAAUUACUGGGCGUAAAGCGUGCGCAGGCGGUUCGUUAAGUUCGUUGUGAAAGCCCCGGGCUCAACCUGGGAACUGCAAUGGAAACUGGCGGGCUUGAAUGCGGCAGGGGAGACUGGAAUUCCUGGUGUAGCGGUGAAAUGCGCAGAUAUCAGGAGGAACACCGGUGGCGAAGGCGGGUCUCUGGGCCGAUACUGACGCUGAGGAGCGAAAGCGUGGGGAGCGAACAGG